UACGUAGGGGGCAAGCGUUAUCCGGAUUUACUGGGUGUAAAGGGAGCGUAGACGGCAGUGCAAGUCUGAAGUGAAAGGCGGGGGCCCAACCCCCGGACUGCUUUGGAAACUGGUAGACUUGAGUGCAGGAGAGGAGAGUGGAAUUCCAUGUGUAGCGGUGAAAUGCGUAGAUAUAUGGAGGAACACCGGUGGCGAAAGCGGCUCUCUGGCCUGUAACUGACACUGAGGCUCGAAAGCGUGGGGAGCAAACAGG
rnacentral:rRNA from 1 species